rnacentral:rRNA from 1 species
UAGGGAAUCUUCCACAAUGGACGCAAGUCUGAUGGAGCAACGCCGCGUGAGUGAAGAAGGUCUUCGGAUCGUAAAGCUCUGUUGUUGGUGAAGAAGGAUAGAGGCAGUAACUGGUCUUUAUUUGACGGUAAUCAACCAGAAAGUCACGGCUAACUACGUGCCAGCAGCCGCGGUAAUACGUAGGUGGCAAGCGUUGUCCGGAUUUAUUGGGCGUAAAGCGAGCGCAGGCGGAAUGAUAAGUCUGAUGUGAAAGCCCACGGCUCAACCGUGGAACUGCAUCGGAAACUGUCAUUCUUGAGUGCAGAAGAGGGGAGUGGAAUUCCAUGUGUAGCGGUGGAAUGCGUAGAUAUAUGGAAGAACACCAGUGGCGAAGGCGGCUCUCUGGUCUGCAACUGACGCUGAGGCUCGAAAGCAUGGGUAGCGAACAGG